rnacentral:rRNA from 1 species
AUGGCCGACCAGCUCUGGCGCAUGUCGCUGCCGGUGGGGGCGAGCAUGGACCACCCGCUGGCCAACCCGUUCGGCCCGGAGAGCCCGAGCCUCGCGCCGGUGGAGCUCCCGCCGGCGCUCGUCGUGGCGCCCUUGAGCGACGUGCUCCGCGACCGCGUGCUGGGGUACGGGGCGAGGCUGAAGGACAUGGGGAAGGCCGUCGAGGUUGUCCAGUUCGAGGGGGAGCAGCAUGGCUUCUCCGUCCGCCAGCCGCUCGGCGAGGCGGCCAGCGAGUUGCUGCGGGUGAUCAAGCGGUUCGUCUACAGCGGCAACUGA